AAAAAUUUUUUUUUUUUCCUGCUCAGGAUGAACGCUGGCGGCGUGCUAAUACAUGCAAGUCGAACGAGUUCUCGUUGAUGAUCGGUGCUUGCACCGAGAUUCAACAUGGAACGAGUGGCGGACGGGUGAGUAACACGUGGGUAACCUGCCCUUAAGUGGGGGAUAACAUUUGGAAACAGAUGCUAAUACCGCAUAGAUCCAAGAACCGCAUGGUUCUUGGCUGAAAGAUGGCGUAAGCUAUCGCUUUUGGAUGGACCCGCGGCGUAUUAGCUAGUUGGUGAGGUAAUGGCUCACCAAGGCGAUGAUACGUAGCCGAACUGAGAGGUUGAUCGGCCACAUUGGGACUGAGACACGGCCCAAACUCCUACGGGAGGCAGCAGUAGGGAAUCUUCCACAAUGGACGCAAGUCUGAUGGAGCAACGCCGCGUGAGUGAAGAAGGCUUUCGGGUCGUAAAACUCUGUUGUUGGAGAAGAAUGGUCGGCAGAGUAACUGUUGUCGGCGUGACGGUAUCCAACCAGAAAGCCACGGCUAACUACGUGCCAGCAGCCGCGGUAAUACGUAGGUGGCAAGCGUUAUCCGGAUUUAUUGGGCGUAAAGCGAGCGCAGGCGGUUUUUUAAGUCUGAUGUGAAAGCCCUCGGCUUAACCGAGGAAGCGCAUCGGAAACUGGGAAACUUGAGUGCAGAAGAGGACAGUGGAACUCCAUGUGUAGCGGUGAAAUGCGUAGAUAUAUGGAAGAACACCAGUGGCGAAGGCGGCUGUCUGGUCUGUAACUGACGCUGAGGCUCGAAAGCAUGGGUAGCGAACAGGAUUAGAUACCCUGGUAGUCCAUGCCGUAAACGAUGAAUGCUAGGUGUUGGAGGGUUUCCGCCCUUCAGUGCCGCAGCUAACGCAUAAGCAUUCCCGCCCCGG
rnacentral:rRNA from 2 species